AAAUGGGAUUAUGACAUGUACCUAGUUUCGGAUCAAAGCAUGCUGAUCAAGCUUAUAUUGGGAUACAGUGAAUAGGAGAUAUUUCACCUGUCACCACUUUGUUUACAUCAAAAGAGCUCCCUGGAUCCUCAACAGUAAGGCUGACCUCCCUGUGUGACCUGCCCACCCAACUCCUGGAGCUGUACCAACAGGGCUUCUCUCUGGCAGCCAUGCACCCCUUUGUGCAGCCCACCCAUGGACAGGAGAAGACACCCCUGGAGCAUAUCUUUAGGGCCAUCCUCAUCAAGAAAACCGACAGAUUUCUUACAUGGCUUGACAGCUCGUAAGCCAUCUUGAAGCUGUUUCCACAGAAGAUAGCAAAAGCAUACAGGGCUUCAAUGCUAUUUGGUUGAACAAUGGACAGUCCUGGAACUAAGUGUGGGGUUGGCAGCCCUGCUUUUGUUUAGACAAUUGUUGUAUCCCCCUCCUCAAUCUGACCUUCGGGUUGUUGCUCAGUUGUGGCUUUCUUCUGAGACGGAGUUGACCUGUCUCUUGUACACACAAGGGAGAAGCUAUUUGGACAUUGAAAAGUAAUUUCUUGGGGUGGAGCCAAGAUGGAAGAAUAGCAACAGAUCCAGUCUACAGCUCCCAGCAUGAGUGAUGCAGAAGACGAAUGAUUUCUGCAUUUCCAACUGAGGUUUAUUCCUUCUGCAGAGUGUGGAUUAUGCCCUGGCCAUGUCCUCAUGUUUCCCAACGGCUGGGAGUCAGAAAUUGAGUGACCUGGGAGCACCUUUGUUGUGCCAUCUAUAGCAAAAAGACACUUGGGUGCAAGUGGGAAUCUUGAGUCACUUUGAGGAGCAUUGCACAAAGCCCUAUGUCUUCAGCCAAGUGCACCCUUUCCUUUUCUGGCUCCAGGAAGUGACAUGGCCUAGCCAUGCAUCCUGGCACCACCAAGGGCCCGUGACUGCCUCUGCUUCCAUGUCCCUUUCAGUCUCUACCUCUACAAAUGCCUCAGCUUUUACCUCCACUCCCAAUUCCAUUCGGCCACACUACAUCUCUCUGCCACAGCCUCAGAGAAUCCUGAAGACACUGCUGUGAUUAUUGGCCUGACGCACCCUGUGGUACCACUGAGAGUUGUGAAGUUGUCUACCAUUCUACUGCAUGAGUUGCAGUAGAACCCCUGGCUGGUGAGAGGGGCAGCAAGAAAUGACCUGACAUUGCUACUCCUCCAAGAUGUCCAGACUACCAUUCGGCUCUUAGUACCCUUAGGGAGUCAGUGUGUCCAGGAAGUGACAUUAUCUGCAGACCAAUACUGGCAAUGGCAGUUGGAGACAAAUAGGCUUCACCAGUCUCAAAGCCCUACCUACUACAAUGAGUCCACACUUCUCCUGGAUUUUAUCUACUUCAGCAAAAGAAGGCCACCCACCAAACCAGGCCAUUGUGCUUUGGGUGGAAACUCCUAAGUCCUAUAGUCUCCUUAAACAGCCAACCACACUGCCACUUUCCUCAAUAAUUACUGCAGCCCUGAGACUUUGGUAGCCUAGUAACUAUAACUACUGAUGCUACAGUCUGGUCACAGUAUGAUAAAACACCAGAGCAACAAAAACAAAAAUAUUGACUUAAGCCUUCUAAAAUCUCUCUAAAUAUACCUUCAAUAAAUAUGUUUUUUUCUACAGAACAA
rnacentral:lncRNA from 1 species